UUUUUAUUUCGUUCUAGGGCUCUGGCUUAGGACAAUUACAGAUGCUGAGAGGAAAUCAGAGAUAGUCAUGUUUGGUUGAGUAGUAGCUGUUGGGAGCUCCAGCCCUCCCAGACUUUCCCUGUGCUUGCUUUAGAAAGCUGCUGCAUGCCUUCACUCAGAAGCUUCAUCAGUCCUGUACCAUGCCAGUUCCUGAGGAUUAUGCAGUGUAGAACUUGUUGACUGUUUUGUUCUCAGAGGUGAGUCUUCUAUUACAGUGAGACUGCACACAGAAAUGUGCUCUUCCCUAGAGUGACAUUUCUAGCACAACACCACUUCCUGAAUCUGAAGUCUAUCAUCUAAAGGUUCUUCCCUUUCUGAGUGUUUAGCUUUCUUCUCCCAGUCGUAUCAUGAUGUUGAUGUUGACCUACACUGGAAGAGUGAAUUUGGAAGAAGAAAUACAGCAGCAGAGAGAAAGUGAGAAGUCUGGACAGGUGACUGUCAACAGGAGAAGUAUAAGAUCAUUGGUGAAUGGAAGGAUUGCAAGGGUAAUAAAAACAGGAGAAAAAUGACGACAAACUGCUCCACUUCUAAUGACAUCAGGAGGUUUGAAUCUGACAUUGAUGGGAUACUUUGAGAAGCCACCAUCAAUUCUCUCAAUUCAACCUUCCUUUUUGCCUUCCCUCUGGACUCAGAACACAGGACUGAAGGGAAGAUGUAACAACAGGUAAGCUGUUUGCCCAAGAUUGGAGUAGCAAAUUCAUUUCCAUCUGUAGUCCUGGAAUACUGCCUGACAAGCACAAGAAAAAACGAGUUAAUGUUCCUGUUUUACUAAUUAGCAUAAGGACUCAAGAUUUCUGAGGUUAUGUACUCCACAUGACUUCCAGCGAGUCCGUAAACCUGUUGGAGAGCUUCCAUGAUUUCCAAAGUUAAGUGAAGCACGGUCUACAUUGAAGUUGCCAUCAAUGUAAUUACAUCAAUUUUCUAAAUGUAGAAAGGGCUUUGCUGUCCUUCCAGGAAUUAAUCUUGCAUAGAUCUUCCUUGAGAGAAAACAUGAAACAAACGUGGAGUUUACAGACAUAGGUGGCUUGGUUCUUUCU
rnacentral:lncRNA from 1 species